UACGAAGGGGCGAAGCGUUGUUCGGAAUCACUGGGCGUAAAGAAGUUCGUAGGCGGUUCAAUUAGUCAGAGGUGAAAGCCCCAGGGCGUCAACCUUGGAAAUGCCUUUGAUACUGUUGGACUAGAAUACCGUGAGAGGGUGGUGGAAUUUCCAGUGUAGAGGUGAAAUUCGUAGAUAUUGGAAGGAACACCAGUGGCGAAGGCGGCCACCUGGCGCGGUGUUGACGCUGAGGAACGAAAGCGUGGGGAGCAAACAGGAUUAGAUACCCGCGUAGU
rnacentral:rRNA from 1 species